GAUGAACGCUGGCGGCGUGCUUAACACAUGCAAGUCGAACGGAGUUAAUUUGAGGAAGCAAGCUUGCUUGAAGAAUUGAAUUAACUUAGUGGCGGACGGGCGAGUAACACGUGAGCAACCUGCCUCUUACAGGGGAAUAACAACGGGAAACCGUUGCUAAUACCGCAUAAUAUGUUGAAAGGGCAUCCUUUUAACAUCAAAGGAGCAAUCCGGUAAGAGAUGGGCUCGCGUCCGAUUAGCUAGUUGGUAGGGUAACGGCCUACCAAGGCGACGAUCGGUAGCCGGACUGAGAGGUCGAACGGCCGCAUUGGGACUGAGACACGGCCCAGACUCCUACGGGAGGCAGCAGUGGGGAAUAUUGGGCAAUGGGCGAAAGCCUGACCCAGCAACGCCGCGUGAGUGAUGAAGGCCUUCGGGUUGUAAAACUCUUUGGACAGGGACGAAGAAAGUGACGUA
rnacentral:rRNA from 1 species